rnacentral:sRNA from 1 species
CUUAAAAAAUUCAAUACGUUGUAGAUUAAAGAUAAAAAGCAGUCCACAUGGGCUGCUAUAAA